AGAGUUUGAUCAUGGCUCAGAUUGAACGCUGGCGGCAGGCCUAACACAUGCAAGUCGAACGGUAACAGGAAGAAGCUUGCUUCUUUGCUGACGAGUGGCGGACGGGUGAGUAAUGUCUGGGAAACUGCCUGAUGGAGGGGGAUAACUACUGGAAACGGUAGCUAAUACCGCAUAACGUCGCAAGACCAAAGAGGGGGACCUUCGGGCCUCUUGCCAUCGGAUGUGCCCAGAUGGGAUUAGCUAGUAGGUGGGGUAACGGCUCACCUAGGCGACGAUCCCUAGCUGGUCUGAGAGGAUGACCAGCCACACUGGAACUGAGACACGGUCCAGACUCCUACGGGAGGCAGCAGUGGGGAAUAUUGCACAAUGGGCGCAAGCCUGAUGCAGCCAUGCCGCGUGUAUGAAGAAGGCCUUCGGGUUGUAAAGUACUUUCAGCGGGGAGGAAGGGAGUAAAGUUAAUACCUUUGCUCAUUGACGUUACCCGCAGAAGAAGCACCGGCUAACUCCGUGCCAGCAGCCGCGGUAAUACGGAGGGUGCAAGCGUUAAUCGGAAUUACUGGGCGUAAAGCGCACGCAGGCGGUUUGUUAAGUCAGAUGUGAAAUCCCCGGGCUCAACCUGGGAACUGCAUCUGAUACUGGCAAGCUUGAGUCUCGUAGGGGGGGGUAGAAUUCCAGGUGUAGCGGUGAAAUGCGUAGAGAUCUGGAGGAAUACCGGUGGCGAAGGCGGCCCCCUGGACGAAGACUGACGCUCAGGUGCGAAAGCGUGGGGAGCAAACAGGAUUAAAUACCCUGGUAGUCCACGCCGUAAACGAUGUCGACUUGGAGGUUGUGCCCUUGAGGCGUGGCUUCCGGAGCUAACGCGUUAAGUCGACCGCCUGGGGAAUACGGCCGCAAGGUUAAAACUCAAAUGAAUUGACGGGGGCCCGCACAAGCGGUGGAGCAUGUGGUUUAAUUCGAUGCAACGCGAAGAACCUUACCUGGUCUUGACAUCCACGGAAGUUUUCAGAGAUGAGAAUGUGCCUUCGGGAACCGUGAGACAGGUGCUGCAUGGCUGUCGUCAGCUCGUGUUGUGAAAUGUUGGGUUAAGUCCCGCAACGAGCGCAACCCUUAUCCUUUGUUGCCAGCGGUCCGGCCGGGAACUCAAAGGAGACUGCCAGUGAUAAACUGGAGGAAGGUGGGGAUGACGUCAAGUCAUCAUGGCCCUUACGACCAGGGCUACACACGUGCUACAAUGGCGCAUACAAAGAGAAGCGACCUCGCGAGAGCAAGCGGACCUCAUAAAGUGCGUCGUAGUCCGGAUUGGAGUCUGCAACUCGACUCCAUGAAGUCGGAAUCGCUAGUAAUCGUGGAUCAGAAUGCCACGGUGAAUACGUUCCCGGGCCUUGUACACACCGCCCGUCACACCAUGGGAGUGGGUUGCAAAAGAAGUAGGUAGCUUAACCUUCGGGAGGGCGCUUACCACUUUGUGAUUCAUGACUGGGGUGAAGUCGAAACAAGGUAACCGUAGGGGAACCUGCGGUUG
rnacentral:rRNA from 1 species